rnacentral:rRNA from 1 species
UACGGAGGGAGCUAGCGUUGUUCGGAAUUACUGGGCGUAAAGCGCACGUAGGCGGCUUUUUAAGUCAGGGGUGAAAUCCCGGGGCUCAACCCCGGAACUGCCUUUGAAACUGGAGAGCUAGAAUCUUGGAGAGGCGAGUGGAAUUCCGAGUGUAGAGGUGAAAUUCGUAGAUAUUGGGAAGAACACCGGUGGCGAAGGCGGCUCACUGGCCCGUAACUGACGCUCAGGCGCGAUAGCGUGGGGAUCAAACAGG